rnacentral:rRNA from 1 species
ACCUACGGGGGGCAGCAGUGGGGAAUAUUGCACAAUGGGGGAAACCCUGAUGCAGCAACGCCGCGUGAGUGAAGAAGGUUUUCGGAUUGUAAAGCUCUGUUAGCAGGGAAGAGGAAGGACGGUACCUGCAGAGGAAGCCACGGCUAACUACGUGCCAGCAGCCGCGGUAAUACGUAGGGGGCAAGCGUUAUCCGGAUUUACUGGGUGUAAAGGGAGCGUAGGUGGCAAGGCAAGUCAGAUGUGAAAACCCGGGGCACAACCCCGGGAGUGCAUUUGAAACUGUCUGGCUAGAGUGCAGGAG